rnacentral:lncRNA from 1 species
CCGGGAACCCCGAACAUCCCCUUUCUCUACUCUUUCCCUUUGGAGUCUAUAGAGGGAGAAGCAGAGCCUAAGGCUUCAUCAGUUUGAAUACUGGCUGGGGCUGGGCAAGUUAGUGGCUCAAAGUGUUGAAUCUGUCCCUAAAGCAGGGACAGAAAUGGAGGCUCAGGAGGUAGAGGUGGCAGUGGGCGUGCAGGAGAAGCUGUAGGUCAGGAGGUAGAGGUGGCAGUGGGCGUGCAGGAGAACUGUAGGUCAGAGUGGAGAGGUGGCAGUGGGCGUGCAGGAGAAGCUGUAGGUCGGGGGGUAGAGGUGGCAGUGGGCGUGCAGGAGAAGCUGUAGGUCGGAGAGGGUGCAGAGUGGAGAACAGAUGAGCUGGAGUCACACCAUGCCCUAUACCCAGCCAGAGGCCGAAGUGAGCCUGUCACGGUAAUGCCACUGCCUGCUUGAUUCCCUCCCAUGCCUAGCCUGGGUUCUUCAUGAUCCCUGAGGCCCUCUUUGAUGUCAUCCCGCUGCCUCAAAACCUGUGUGUGCUGGUGGCUCCCUCUGCUUUCCUUCCAGAUGACUCCUUCGCUUCAGCUCAAAUGUCACCUUUGGCUGUUAAAAUCCUUUCCGGAGGAAGUUGUAAACAAUGCCUACCCCUCCUCCCGAGGUCUCUGAUUCCACUCCAGGGAAGAUUGCUCUGGGGGAGCCAAUGAGUUUGUUGGGAUUACUUCCAGAGCAUAGGUGAGGGGUUAGUUACUUGAAUAUGAGUGCUGCCCACCAAAAGACCGCACUGAAAAGUCUUUACCCAGCAGGGGUGAUGGU